rnacentral:misc_RNA from 1 species
CCGAGUUUACAACUCCCAAACCCCUGUGAACAUACCUAUAUGUUGCCUCGGCGGAUCAGCCUGCGCCCCGUAAAACGGGACGGCCCGCCGCAGGAUCCACAAACUCUGUUUUUAUUGUAACUUCUGAGUAACAAAACAAAUAAAUCA